AGAGCUCAAAUUUAAAAUCUGGUAGUCUUUGGCUGCCCGAGUUGUAAUCUGGAGAAGUGUUUUCCGCGUUGGACUGUGUACAAGUUUCCUGGAUACGGAACAUCAUAGAGGGUGAGAAUCCCGUCCUUGACACAGACGCCCAAUGCUAUGUGAUACGCUCUCGACGAGUCGAGUUGUUUGGGAAUGCAGCUCAAAAUGGGAGGUAAAUUCCUUCUAAAGCUAAAUAUUGGCGAGAGACCGAUAGCGAA
rnacentral:rRNA from 1 species